UGGUGGAGUGAUUUGUCUGGUUAAUUCCGAUAACGAACGAGACUCUGUCCUGCUAACUAGGUUGUGUUUUCUCGGGUUGGUGUUUCUGGUGUUCCCUCUCGGGGCGCCGGCCCAAUCCACUUGUGAACACAACACUCUUCUUAGAGGGACUGGCGGCUGUUAGCCGCACGAGAUAGAGCAAUAACG
rnacentral:rRNA from 1 species